rnacentral:rRNA from 1 species
UACGGAAGGGGCAAGCGUUGUUCGGAAUCAUUGGGCGUAAAGAGCUUGUAGGCGGUUUGUCGCGUCUGCUGUGAAAACCCGGGGCUCAACUCCGGGCCUGCAGUCGAUACGGGCUGGCUUGAGUGCGGUAGGGGAGACUGGAAUUCCUGGUGUAGCGGUGAAAUGCGCAGAUAUCAGGAGGAACACCGGUGGCGAAGGCGGGUCUCUGGGCCGUAACUGACGCUGAGGAGCGAAAGCGUGGGGAGCAAACAGG